rnacentral:sRNA from 1 species
AACCAGCAUGUAGCCAAGUCUUGAAUUGAACUCCUGGUCCUUCUGGCUUUUUCACAAGUGCUGGAAUAUCAGACCAGUGCCCCAAGAUCUGCAGUUGGAAGAGGAAGUAAUAGCUGGAAUACCAGUUUAAUCAGCCUUGUACUGGAAAGCUCUUCAGUCUCAAUAGCAGCGAGCUCCUGGAUACCCUUUUUACCGAUGUCCAAUUCUAACAUUUCUC